AGCGAACGCUGGCGGCAGGCUUAACACAUGCAAGUCGAGCGCCGCAGCAAUACGGAGCGGCAGACGGGAGAGUAACACGUGGGAACGUACCCCUUGGUUCGGAAUAACUCAGGGAAACUUGAGCUAAUACCGGAUACGUCGGCAACGAGAAAGAUUUAUCGCCGAGGGAUCGGCCCGCGUCCGAUUAGCUAGUUGGUGUGGUAAUGGCGCACCAAGGCGACGAUCGGUAGCUGGUCUGAGAGGAUGAUCAGCCUCACUGGGACUGAGACACGGCCCAGACUCCUACGGGAGGCAGCAGUGGGGAAUAUUGGACAAUGGGCGCAAGCCUGAUCCAGCCAUGCCGCGUGGGUGAUGAAGGCCUUAGGGUUGUAAAGCCCUUUCGGCGGGGAAGAUAAUGACGGUACCCGCAGAAGAAGCCCCGGCUAACUUCGUGCCAGCCGCCGCGGUAAGAC
rnacentral:rRNA from 1 species